AGGAGCUGCUGGGACAGGCCCAGAGGAAGAGUCCUCCAGCUCUUCCAAGUUGAGUGAUUUCUUACAGAAUGGGUGAAAUCAGAUAAGAUCAAGCACUUUGGAAAGCAGCACGUGAGGCUAGGAACUUGUGGCCAGCAGCAGUAUUUGAUCUUCCCAUUGGAAUGGGGAUGUUGGCUGCCCAAUGAAGUACACAGUAACGAGAAC